CUGCAAGCCUCCAGCAUGCUUGGGUAUGGAGUGACCCUGUGUGUUCCUGUAGUGCUUGUGAGAGCAUUAUGAAAUGAUUUGAGGUCUUGUCCUUCUCUAUCCAGAACAAACUUAUUAGAAAUUUCAGACAAUU